GGGGUGCAUAUCAAAAGCGGAGGAAAAGAAACUAACAAGGAUUCCCCUAGUAACGGCGAGUGAAGCGGGAUGAGCUCAAAUUUAAAAUCUGGCGGCCUCAGGUCGUCCGAGUUGUAGUCUAGAGAAUCGUUUUCCGCGUUGGCCUGUGUACAAGUCCCUUGGAACAGGGCGUCAUAGAGGGUGAGAAUCCCGUCCUUGACACAGAUUACCAAUGCUUUGUGAUGCGAUCUCGAAGAGUCGAGUUGUUUGGGAAUGCAGCUCAAAAUGGGUGGUAAAUUCCAUCUAAAGCUAAAUAUUGGCGAGAGACCGAUAGCGAACAAGUACCGUGAGGGAAAGAUGAAAAGCACUUUGGAAAGAGAGUUAAACAGUACGUGAAAUUGUUAAAAGGGAAACGAUUGAAGUCAGUCAUGCUUUCCGAGACUCAGCCGAUUCUGUCGGUGUACUUCUCGGUUGGCAGGCCAGCAUCAGUUUCGAUCUGUGGAAAAGGUUGGAGGGAACGUGGCAUCUCCGGAUGUGUUAUAGCCCUUCUUCGAAUACAUAGAGCGGGACUGAGGAACGCAGCGCGCCUUUUAUUAGGUUGGCCCUCGGGUACAUACGCGCUUAGGAUGCUGGCAUAAUGGCUUUAAACGACCCGUCUUGAAACACGGACCAC
rnacentral:rRNA from 1 species